rnacentral:tRNA from 1 species
GCCCCCAUAGCUCAGGGGUAGAGCACAUCAUUGGUAAUGAUGAGGCCUCGAGUUCAAAUCUCGAUGGGGGCU